AAUUAGAGAUUGUGGAUACAGUCACUAUUGAUACAUUUCCCAACGAGAUCAUCCUAAAGUCAUACGACAAGAGCUUUUGGUUUCACACUCAUAAGCAGAGAGACUUCAGAGCUGCUGGGCCAUUUACUGUCUCUCUAAGGGUGGUGAACUCAACAGUGGCCUGUUUAGGUACACUCUCUUACCAUCCAGACCCAGAAUUCACCAGCUUCACUACCUCUAAGGUGGUCAAUGAUGUGCUGGUCAUCAUACAG